UACAGAGGGUGCGAGCGUUGUUCGGAAUUAUUGGGCGUAAAGCGUGCGCAGGCGGUUAUGCAAGACAGAUGUGAAAUCCCCGGGCUUAACCUGGGAACCGCAUUUGUGACUGCAUAGCUGGAGUACGGCAGAGGGGGAUGGAAUUCCGCGUGUAGCAGUGAAAUGCGUAGAUAUGCGGAGGAACACCGAUGGCGAAGGCAGUCCCCUGGGCCUGUACUGACGCUCAUGCACGAAAGCGUGGGGAGCAAACAGG
rnacentral:rRNA from 1 species